AGAGUUGAUCAUGGCUCAGGAUGAACGCUAGCUACAGGCUUAACACAUGCAAGUCGAGGGGCAGCAUUGGAGUAGCAAUACUCAGAUGGCGACCGGCGCACGGGUGAGUAACACGUAUCCAACCUGCCGCUUACUCGGGGAUAGCCUUUCGAAAGAAAGAUUAAUACCCGAUGGUAUAAAGAGUUCGCAUGUUCUCUUUAUUAAAGAAUUUCGGUAAGCGAUGGGGAUGCGUUCCAUUAGAUAGUUGGCGGGGUAACGGCCCACCAAGUCUACGAUGGAUAGGGGUUCUGAGAGGAAGGUCCCCCACAUUGGAACUGAGACACGGUCCAAACUCCUACGGGAGGCAGCAGUGAGGAAUAUUGGUCAAUGGACGAGAGUCUGAACCAGCCAAAGUAGCGUGAAGGAUGACUGCCCUAUGGGUUGUAAACUUCUUUUAUAAGGGAAUAAAGUGAGGGACGUGUCCCUUUUUGUAUGUACCUUAUGAAUAAGGAUCGGCUAACUCCGUGCCAGCCGCCGC
rnacentral:rRNA from 1 species